AACAAACAUAAAUCAAGAUAAGAUUUAUUUUCUUGCUGGAAAAUUCAGCUUAAGCUGGUUGCUGUGUUUUGGAACAUGGUAGCUGGUCGAAGCGGGUCCUUAGCUGGUCCUAGCUGGUCCUUAGCUGGUCCUAAGCCAGUCCUUAGCCGGUCCUAAGAUGGUCCAAAGAUGGUCCAAAGAUGGUCCAAAGAUGGUCCAAAGAUGGAAGCUGGUCCUAGCUGGUCCUUAGCUGGUCCUAAGCCAGUCCUUAGCUGCUCCUUAGCAUGGUCCAAAGAUGGUCCAAAGAUGGAAGCUGGUCCUAGCUGGUCCUAAGCCAGUCCUUAGCCGCUCCUUAGCAGGUCCAAAGAUGGUCCAAAGAUGGAAGCUGGUCCUAGCUGGUCCUUAGCUGGUCCUAAGCCGGUCCUAAGCCAGUCCUUAGCCGCUCCUUAGCAGGUCCAAAGAUGGUCCAAAGAUGGUCCUAAACUGUUCCUCAGCUGGUCCAAGCUGGUCCUAAAAUGGUCCUUAGCUGGUCAAGCUGAUCCUAAGCUGGCCCUAAAAUGGUCCUUAGCUGGCCCUAAAAUGGUCCUUAGCUGGCCCUAAGAUGGUCCUUAGCUGGUUCAUGCUGGUCGACCAGCUAGCAUAUUCCAAAAACCACCUUAACCACCUUGAGCUGGUAUGACAAGCUGGUAGAUUCUCUAAGAUGGUCUCCUAGCUGGGACCAGCUCAUGACCAGCUAGAAACCAGCUACCAGCUACCAUGUUCCAAAACACAGAAGCUUAAACUGGAUUUUUCAUUAGGGUACAAAUGUCAGUAAGAACAUACAGUGUAAAUAUCUGUAUGUAUAACAGAAUUUAAUAUACAUGCAAUUUAAUAUAAACAGCUACCACUUGGUCAUUUUAAAUAUAGGCUAUGUUGCACUUACAAACAAAUAUGAGUAUUAGUGUGAAAUAUGAAAUCAGUUCAUAUGAAAACCAUAUUAUGUAGCCUAUAUAUGGCAUGCAUUGCCAGUCUGUAUGGGCAACAAUGAUAACACUUUUCUGUAGAUCUUCAUAGAUGAUGUCAUAACAUUACAGUGGAAGGGGCACAAUAUAUAACGUAAUGACGGCACACAUAAACAGGUAGAGUUUCACAUUAGAGUUUUAAAUGAAAUAUCGCGAGAUUGAGGCGAGCAAGACGGGGAGAAUGCGGAAACUGAUAUGCGAUUGUGCAGCAACGAUAUUAAAAUGAAACAAGAAACUGGAUCAUGGGUGUAACAUAGAGGCGCUACAAAAUAUAUUAAGAUAUUUUUCCCGCGAUAAACCAAAGGAUACGGGAUUUACGUCUACGUUUGAGGAUUCGAUGAGCCAUACAGAGCGUUAAACAUUGGUGUAUUGGGUUUAUAUUUGGUAAAUAAAAUAUAAAUAAAGACAUGUACAUGUUUAGAAACUAUUGAGAACUGAAACUAAAGGAUCUUUCAUUAUAUUGGAGCUACAGGUGCGACGGAUAGUCCUGAAAAUACGGAUCCAGAACAUAAAACUGUUCCAGCCGCAGCAGAUAUCAGCACUAUCAGAGAUGAUUUGAAAUGGAGUACUGGAAUAGAGAAACAUCUAUGAAAGCUUCGGUUUACACCAUGAACUCUUUAGAUGUUUCUUCUAAUGUUUAAAACAGAGUAACUUAAAGUAGAUGGCAGCUGACUCUUUUUGAGUUACAGGAGGUCAGUGAGGAAACCUCAAAACAUGUAUUUGUAAAAAUGUGAAGAUCCACAAAUGAGGAAACCCAAGGGUACAAUUGCUAAAAGUCUUACUGAAAACUAAAGGUUGAGCAUAGAGUUCGGUGGAAUAAACUGAAGAACUGGUUUCACAAAUAUUUACACAUUGUUUUUGUGUGUGUUCAUAUAUGCAUGGAUUAUUUUUGGACAUUUGUAACCUCAAGUUUCACGGUUUUAAAUGUGUGUGUUCUUUUGAGUUGUGUUGAUCAGUGAUGCAUUAGCUAAUUGACCUGUAAUUACUCCUUAUAUUAAAAUAAAAGUUUAAAAUU